rnacentral:rRNA from 1 species
UACGACCGUACCGCAAACCGACACUGGUGCGCGAGAUGAGUAUUCUAAGGCGCUUGAGAGAACUCAGGAGAAGGAACUCGGCAAAUUGACACCGUAACUUCGGAAGAAGGUGUGCCCUAUUAGUGUGUAGUGAACAACGAAGCAUGAAUGGGUUGCAAAAAAUCGGUGGCUGCGACUGUUUAUUAAAAACACAGCACUCUGCAAACACGAAAGUGGACGUAUAGGGUGUGACGCCUGCCCGGUGCUGGAAGAUUAAAUGAUGGGGUGCAAGCUCUUGAUUGAAGUCCCAGUAAACGGCGGCCGUAACAAUAACGGUCCUAAGGUAGCGAAAUUCCUUGUCGGGUAAGUUCCGACCUGCACGAAUGGCGUAACGAUGGCCACACUGUCUCCUCCUGAGACUCAGCGAAGUUGAAAUGUUUGUGAUGAUGCAAUCUCCCCGCGGAAAGACGGAAAGACCCCAUGAACCUUUACUGUAGCUUUGUAUUGGACUUUGAACAGAUCUGUGUAGGAUAGGUGGGAGGCUUUGAAGCAGGGUCGCUAGAUCUUGUGGAGCCAACGUUGAAAUACCACCCUGGUGUGUUUGUGGUUCUAACCUAGGUCCAUUAUCUGGAUCGGGGACAGUGCAUGGUAGGCAGUUUGACUGGGGCGGUCUCCUCCCAAAGCGUAACGGAGGAGUUCGAAGGUACGCUAGUUACGGUCGGACAUCGUGACGAUAGUGCAAUGGCAUAAGCGUGCUUAACUGCGAGACUGACAAGUCGAGCAGAUGCGAAAGCAGGACAUAGUGAUCCGGUGGUUCUGUAUGGAAGGGCCAUCGCUCAACGGAUAAAAGGUACUCUGGGGAUAACAGGCUGAUACCGCCCAAGAGUUCAUAUCGACGGCGGUGUUUGGCACCUCGAUGUCGGCUCAUCUCAUCCUGGGGCUGUAGCCGGUCCCAAGGGUAUGGCUGUUCGCCAUUUAAAGAGGUACGUGAGCUGGGUUUGAAACGUCGUGAGACAGUUUGGUCCCUAUCUUCCGUGGGCGCUGCAGAUUUGAGGAAGCCUGCUCCUAGUACGAGAGGACCGGAGUGGACACACCUCUGGUGUAUCGGUUGUCACGCCAGUGGCAUUGCCGAGUAGCUAAGUGUGGAAGAGAUAACCGCUGAAAGCAUCUAAGCGGGAAACUCGUUUCAAGAUGAGAUCUGCCGGGGCCUUGAGCCCCCUAAAGAGUCGUUCAAGACCAGGACGUUGAUAGGUCAGGUGUGGAAGC